GGGAGUGUACUCCAGUGGUUAAGAGGUUGUGUUUAGGUCAUGUGCCAUCCGCAAUGCAGAAAUGCGCGCGCGUUCGAAUCGCGUCACUCUCA